rnacentral:rRNA from 1 species
AGCUUGUUGGUGGGGUAACGGCUCUAAACCUAGGCGCGAUCCCUAGCUGGUCUGAGAGGAUGACCAGCCACACUGGAACUGAGACACGGUCCAGACUCUCUACGAGGCAGCAGUGGGGAAUAUUGCACAAUGGGCGCAAGCCUGAUGCAGCCAUGCCAGCGAGUAUGUAAGAGACCUUCGAGUUGUAAAGUACUUUCAGCGGGAAGGAAGGGAGUAAAGUUAAUACCUUUACUCAUUGACGUUACCCGCAGAAGAAGCACCGGCUAACCCCGUGCCAGCAGCCGCCGUAAAACGAAAGGGUGCAAGCGUUAAUCGGGAACUACUGGGCGUAAAGCGCACGCAGGCGGUUUGUUAAGUCAGAUGUGAAAUCCCCGGGGCUAACCUGGGAACUGCUUAUCUGAUACUGGGCAAGCUUGAGUCUCGUAGAGGGGGGGUAGAAAAUUCCAGGUGUAGCGGUGAAAGUGCGUAGAGAUCUGGAGGGAAUACCGGUGGCGAAGGCGGGCCCCCUGGACAAGAAGACUGACGCUCAGGUGGCGAAAGCGUUUGGGGAGCAAACAGGAUUAGAUACCCUGGUAGUCCACGCCGUAAACGAUGUCCUUGGAGGUGGUGUGCCCUUGAGGCGUGGCUUCCGGAGCUAACGCGUUAAGUCGAACCGCCUGGGGAGUACGGCGCAAGGGUUAAAACUUUCAAAUGAAUUGACGGGGGCCCGCACAAGCGGUGGAAAGCAUGUGGUUUAAUGUCGGCAACGCGAAGAACCCUUACCCUGGUCUUGACAUCCCACGGGAAAGUUUUACAGAGAUGAGAAUGUGCCUUCCGGGGAAACCGUGGGACAGGUGCUGCAUGACUGGUCGUCAGCUCGUGCUGUGAAAUGUUGGGAUAGUCCCGCAACGAGGCUGCCAACCCAUAUCAUUUGGUUGCCAAGCGAUUCCGGCCGGGAACUCAAAGGAGUGCCAGUGAUAAACUGGAGGAAGGUGGGGAUGACGUCAAGUCAUCAUGGCCCCUUACGACCAGGGCUACACACGUGCUACUAAUGGCGCA